rnacentral:rRNA from 1 species
AUACGUAGGUGGCAAGCGUUGUCCGGAAUUACUUGGGCGUAAAGCGCAUGUAGGCGGACAUUUAAGUCAGGGGUGAAAUCCCGGGGCUCAACCUCGGAACUGCCUUUGAUACUGGGUGUCUAGAGUGUGGAAGAGGUAAGUGGAAUUCCGAGUGUAGAGGUGAAAUUCGUAGAUAUUCGGAGGAACACCAGUGGCGAAGGCGGCUUACUGGUCCAUUACUGACGCUGAGGUGCGAAAGCGUGGGGAGC